rnacentral:rRNA from 1 species
GUUAUCGUUUAUUUGAUAGUACCUUACUACUUGGAUAACCGUGGUAAUUCUAGAGCUAAUACAUGCUAAAAAUCCCGACUUCGGAAGGGAUGUAUUUAUUAGAUUAAAAACCAAUGCCCUUCGGGGCUCACUGGUGAUUCAUGAUAACUCCUCGAAUCGCAUGGCCUUGUGCCGGCGAUGGUUCAUUCAAAUUUCUUCCCUAUCAACUUUCGAUGUUUGGGUAUUGGCCAAACAUGGUUGCAACGGGUAACGGAGGGUUAGGGCUCGACCCCGGAGAAGGAGCCUGAGAAACGGCUACUACAUCCAAGGAAGGCAGCAGGCGCGCAAAUUACCCAAUCCCGACACGGGGAGGUAGUGACAAUAAAUACUGAUACAGGGCUCUUUUGGGUCUUGUAAUUGGAAUGAGUACAAUUUAAAUCCCUUAACGAGGAACAAUUGGAGGGCAAGUCUGGUGCCAGCAGCCGCGGUAAUUCCAGCUCCAAUAGCGUAUAUUAAAGUUGUUGUGGUUAAAAAGCUCGUAGUUGAACCUUGG